rnacentral:rRNA from 1 species
AUUGAACGCUGGCGGCAGGCCUAACACAUGCAAGUCGAAUGGUAACAGGAAACCGCUUGCUUUUUCGCUGAUUAGUGGCGGACGGGUGACUCAUGUCUGGCAUACUGCCUGAUGGAGGGGGAUAACUACUGACAACGGUAGCUAAUACCUCAUAACGUCUCUAGACUAACGUUUGGGACCUUCGUGCCUCUUGCUCUCAACUGUGCCCAGAUGGGAUUAGCUAGUAGGUGGGGUAACGGCUCACCUAGGCGACGAUCCCUAGCUGGUCUGAGAGGAUGACCAGCAAAACUGGAACUGAGACACGGUCCAGACUCCUACGGGAGGCAGCAGUGGGGAAUAUUGCACAAUGGGCGCAAGCCUGAUGCAGCCAUGCCGCGUGUAUGAAGAAGGCCUUCGGGUUGUAAAGUACUUUCAGCGGGGAGGAAGGGAGUAAAGUUAAUACCUUUGCUCAUUGACGUUACCCGCAGAAGAAGCACCGGCUAACUCCGUG